GAUGAGCUCCUAGCGUCCCCUGGUGGCCACAUAUUUUGUUUUGUUUUGAUACUUUGCAGCCCAAGCUUGAACCUUCGUGUUUGUUCCUCACACAGCCGGCCGGGCUCUCCCAAGCGCUGGGACAGGACUAUCCUUCAAGCCAAGCAUCGGCCGUCUUGGGGAGCUCAGCUGUUGCCUGUUGCAGAAGGAUCACCCCAGCUGAGCUUGUGUUAGUACCUAUAGAUGGGUGGGGUCAGGAGACCCUCACCUGAGUAUCCAGCGCCCUUAAUUGCUCAUGACCUGGGGGAGGAACUACAGUCUACACACCAGGAAAACCGGGGUCAGGGGUCCAUUUUACGGCAGGCUGUGGAGAAGCCUUCAUCCCUGAUGGGUAAAGGUUUCCCAGGUGAUGCUUAUUGCGAAGGAGCACCCACACCUGUGCUCUGUGAAAGAGCACAUUGGUUCACCAUUGUGAACCUUGCUGGUUUGUCGUUCGGACCUUGAAGGAGGGGUAGACCUUGGAAAAAGUCAGAGCUCUGCUCUUGCCAGCCUCAGGUUGCCUCCAGCCUCUCCACAAUUCCUCAGUGACUGCUGGUGGUGACUGGUGACCAUUGGUUAAUUCUGGUUUGGACACUCAUUUAAAGCAGCUGUAGACAUUUUUUUCCUGGGGUCACCCUUUUCUGUGUGUGGGGGGGCUCAGUCUCUCAUCUGUUUUAGCAAUGGAUGUGUCGGUUUGUCUGUGUGGGGAAUACACACCUUAGUGCCGGCAGUGCUAGGACUCAUAAGAGGCCAUGGGACCCCCUGGGGCUGGAGUUAUAGGCUGUGGUGAGCAGCCGCUGUGAGUGCUAGCAACUGAUCUGAUUCUCUCAAAGGUCAGCAUGCACUCUGAAGUGCUAAGCCAUCCUCAGGUCCCUUUCUUUUGAAAAGCAGGGUCUCACGUAGCCCAGGAUCUUGCUUAGAUUAGCUGUUCUCAAACCUUCCUAAUGCUAUGACUCUGUAUUACAGAUCCUCAUGUGAUAGUGAUCCUCCCAACCAUAAAAUUAUUAUCAUUGCUACUUCAUAACCGUAAUUCUGCUACUGUUAAAAUCUUAGUGUAAAUAUCUGGGGGUUUUGAUCUUCUUAGGCAACCCCUGUGAAAGGGGUCAUGGCCCUCAGGUUGAGAACCAAUGGCGUAGAUGACCUUAAACUCUAGAUCUGCCUCUGCAUGCUGGGAUUACAAGCCCGUGAGUGCUGGGACUGCAGGUGUGGACUGUUGUGUCUGGUUUAUAAAGUGCUAGGGUAUAGAACUCCAUGAGUGGUAGAUACCAACUAUGCUAUAACCCCAGCUCCUUCUUUUAUUUUUAGAGAUAGGGUUUCUCUGUGUAGAACAGACUAUCCUCGAACUCAGAGAACCACCUGCCUCCAUCUCCAGAGCUCUGGGAUUAAAGGGAUCCAGACAGGAGCAUGGCUGAUGUCUUGAACGCUUCCUGAUGUGGGGAGUGCUUGAUGCUGACGAGGAAAGGAAGAGAUUCUAAAACAACACUUUAGGACAUCCCUCUAUUGCAAAGGCCAGGGCAGAGUGAAUGUGCGGUCCUAAUGUUCUGUGGCCCCGCCCUGCCUAGGCCAGUGCAGAGCGAAUGUGCUGUUCUAACGUAUUAUGGCCGCCAGAGGGCAGAACUGAGUCAAGAAGAAGAGAAGAGCAGGAGAUGGCCGCUCAGAAACAAAAAGCUAAAGAAACUGAGAUCGCUAACGGCCGCCAGAGAAGCACAUUCCAGCGCGUAUUCUCAGUGCCUUGGCAUUUCAGUGUGGCUUUCUGUCCAUCCAAGUCCAUCCCAGUACAGGGUUGAGUUUGCAACCCUUUCCUUGGUGGGUGUUAUGGUGCAUGCCAGUGACUCCAGAGGCUGGCAGGCCACGAUUGCCUUAUUGAGUUUGAGCUAAUUUGUGUCCAGCAGACUCUCUCUCAAAAUAAAAAGUAAGAGGGGAUUGGAGAGCUGACUCGGUGAUUAAGAGCAUGUACUGCUCUUUCAGAGGACUCGGCUUUGGUUCCUAGCAUGCUGGUAUCCAGCACCUCACAAUCGUCUAUAACUCCAGCUCUAGGGGUCUUUGAUGUCUCUGGCCUCCACAAGCAC